rnacentral:rRNA from 1 species
GAUGAACGCUGGCGGCGUGCCUAAUACAUGCAAGUCGAGCGAACGGACGAGAAGCUUGCUUCUCUGAUGUUAGCGGCGGACGGGUGAGUAACACGUGGAUAACCUACCUAUAAGACUGGGAUAACUUCGGGAAACCGGAGCUAAUACCGGAUGAUAUUUUGAACCGCAUGGUUCAAAAGUGAAAGACGGUCUUGCUGUCACUUAUAGAUGGAUCCGCGCUGCAUUAGCUAGUUGGUAAGGUAACGGCUUACCAAGGCAACGAUGCAUAGCCGACCUGAGAGGGUGAUCGGCCACACUGGAACUGAGACACGGUCCAGACUCCUACGGGAGGCAGCAGUAGGGAAUCUUCCGCAAUGGGCGAAAGCCUGACGGAUCAACGCCGCGUGAGUGAUGAAGGUCUUCGGAUCGUAAAACUCUGUUAUUAGGGAAGAACAUAUGUGUAAGUAACUGUGCACAUCUUGACGGUACCUAAUCAGAAAGCCACGGCUAACUACGUG